rnacentral:lncRNA from 1 species
CGGAGGAGAGGGAGUAGCUGCCGGAGGCGCCGCCGAGGGAGAGGAGGACCUUGACGCCUCGGGACUGGCAGGACUUGAUGUCGGAGGAGAGGCCUUUGCAGGUGCCGGCGGAGGGGUCGCAGUGGCCGGCGAGGUUGAGGACGGGGGUCUGGCCGUUGCCGAAGGUGGUGAGGAAGGCGAUGUUGACGUAGGAGUAGAGGCCGGUGGCGCAGGCGGAGGCGAGGCUCCCCUCGGCGGUAUACUGGCCCCAGUAGACGGCGAUGCUGCCUGCAUGGGAGCCGGCAACAAGGGCGAGG